CCUACGGGGGGCUGCAGUCGAGAAUCAUUCACAAUGGGGGAAACCCUGAUGGUGCGACGCCGCGUGGGGGAAUGAAGGUCUUCGGAUUGUAAACCCCUGUCAUGUGGGAGCAAAUUAAAAAGAUAGUACCACAAGAGGAAGAGACGGCUAACUCUGUGCCAGCAGCCGCGGUAAUACAGAGGUCUCAAGCGUUGUUCGGAAUCACUGGGCGUAACGCGUGCGUAGGCUGUUUCGUAAGUCGUGUGUGAAAGGCGCGGGCUCAACCCGCGGACGGCACAUGAUACUGCGAGACUAGAGUAAUGGAGGGGGAACCGGAAUUCUCGGUGUAGCAGUGAAAUGCGUAGAUAUCGAGAGGAACACUCGCGGCGAAGGCGGGUUCCUGGACAUUAACUGACGCUGAGGCACGAAGGCCAGGGGAGCGAAAGGGAUUAGAUACCCUUGUAGUC
rnacentral:rRNA from 1 species